ensembl:lncRNA
GGCAUAUGAAGAAAUAGGUUCCACAAAAGAAUUCUUCUAUUGAAUGUAUGCUUCUUAUUUAUGGUCUUGGAUAAAUAAAAGUUGUCAAAUAACUAGAUUUUCUUCCUUUCUCACAAAGGAAUUGUCUACUGAGAUAGUCAAUGAUGGGAACAACUUUGUGAUGAUGUAUGCCGAUCUGCUGGUAAUUCUAAAGGGUAGACACCUGUGUGUUGGGGAAACUUGAUUUUCUGAUUGGACUUGAUUGAUACAGUUGGACGGAUAGCUAUGGAUAGAGUUUCAGAAGUCAGAUCAGAGAGGGACAACCUUUUCAAAGUACUUUGUUAUGCAUCUGACAAGUGUAUGACUGGUGAUGGUGUACUGGAUAAUAGUGUCCUGGAGAGCCUUAACAGCUGAAAAUGUGUAUAUUAUGAGGAAAUUUAUGGACAUCUGAACUGCUGAAAUUUAAACAGAUUCAAAGAAAGAAGAACCUGACAGAAUCAGUGUUACAUUUCAGGAACUACCAGUCACUUGUCCAGAGGAAGAAUUAGAAUGAUAUUCAGAGUGUUUGGAAACAGAGGCAAAAGGGCAAGAGGUGUCCACAAUUACAAAAUUACAUCUACAGAAAUAGUUACUUCUGACAAAAUACCAAUGCUCAUGUAUGACUGCUAUGAAUAGAAGAAAUUACAUCUUAACUGCACAGAAGAUGCUGAAGAUUAUAACACACUUGGAGCUUUCAGAUCUUCGAUAGAUCUUCAUGCCUUUCACAUAAUAGCAAACACUACUCCUUCAUUCUUCUGGUUGUAAUUCAAAAUUUUAUGAGUUUGGUAGAUUUACAUUACUAGUCUACUCUACUUGGAUAUGCAGGGCUACAGAUAUAUGAUACAGAAUACAUAUUACUAUAAUUUCUGAAUAAAUGGUGUGGCACAAUCUAUGUUUAUUUUAAUAACGUGUAUAUGUUUCUUAAGCAGUCAUUCAUGAAAUGGUACAAAGAAGGCGACCUGAAAUAGAAAUAUUUUGCUGCCUUCCGAGCCAAUGGUCCAAGCUUCAUCACUUGAGAACAUUAGCUAAACUAUGAUUCAUGAUAUACAGAUAAAACACAAGGCCGCAGGCAGCAAUCGUAAAGACUAACUGGCCUCAUGAGGCUAAUCUCUCUUGGAUUCUUCACUAACCAAGGGGCAAGGAUCUGUCCUUGGACUAGUCAUUCGGAAGAUGUGUCUAAUUCAACCAGUCUUCUGUUGUUCUCUUUUUCCUUUGCCUAAGGAAGAAGCCUGGGAGCCUUAAGAGGCCAGUGUUUAUUUCUGUGAAUACCCCUCAGGGAGAUGAAUCCUCUGAAGGAUUCAGUAGAAAAAAACCUGCACUUAGAACAGAGACCCACUAUCAAUUUGGAACUUCACAUCCUUGAUGGAAUACUUAUGACAAGGUCAGGAUGCUGAACUUACUCUCUUUGCUACAUCUGUGAAGCAUAGAUGUGCAGUCAAUAACUGGUCAUUUCAACUAAUAGAAAACUACAAGUGCUGCUCCGAAAGUAAUACCUCCCAUUUUAUUAUGUUGGCCCACAACAUCAGGGAUGGAUGUUGGCAGUAUGGCAGUAGAGGUUGGGCCUUCCUGCCAAUAUAUCAUUACAGUUUGUUGCUGUGUGACAGAUGGCCACAGAGAGGCAAUCUGAUAAAUGAGUGCCUGACAUGGAGGAGUGCAUAAAGAAAGUGUGGAAUUGAAUUCCCCCCUGUAGAAAAAAUAGCACCCAUUCACAUUCACUGAUGCUUUCUAAAUGUUUAU